CUACGGGGGGCAGCAGUGGGGAAUCUUAGACAAUGGGGGAAACCCUGAUCUAGCCAUGCCGCGUGAGCGACGACGGCCCUAGGGUUGUAAAGCUCUUUCAGCAGGGCAGAUAAUGACGGUACCUGCAGAAGAAGUCCCGGCUAACUCCGUGCCAGCAGCCGCGGUAAUACGGAGGGGACUAGCGUUGUUCGGAAUUACUGGGCGUAAAGCGCGCGUAGGCGGAUUGUUAAGUCGGGGGUGAAAUCCCGGGGCUCAACACCGGAACUGCCCUCGAUACUGGCAGUCUUGAGUUCGAGAGAGGUGAGUGGAAUUCCGAGUGUAGAGGUGAAAUUCGUAGAUAUUCGGAGGAACACCAGUGGCGAUGGCAGCUCACGGGCUCGAUACUGACGCUGAGGUGCGAAAGCGUGGGGAGCAAACAGGAUUAGAUACCCGAGUAGUC
rnacentral:rRNA from 1 species